AAGUUCAAGAACUCUCUUUCUCUUCUCUCUCCGAUUCCGUGAAUAUAAUCUCUCAAGAAUGAUGAUAAUCUCACAACAGACUUCUCCUUCUCUCAUCAGCUAUAUAGACGAGACCGGUACACCCUGAUCAGAAGCCGACUCUAAUAACCAACCCGGUUAUCGCCUUCUUCUAUUCUUGUACCAAAUGAGUUACUAAACCAACUCCGGUUUAGCUCACUUCUAUUGUUGAAUGACACACAAACCAUAACAGUCUCCACCU
rnacentral:lncRNA from 1 species